AACGAACGCUGGCGGCAGGCCUAACACAUGCAAGUCGAACGCUCGUAGCAAUACGGGAGUGGCGCACGGGUGAGUAACGCGUGGGCACCUACCCGGUGGUCCGGAAUAACCGCGGGAAACUGCGGCUAAUACCGAAUAAGCCCUUAGGGGGAAAGAUUUAUCGCCAUCGGAUGGGCCCGCGUAGGAUUAGCUAGUUGGUGAGGUAACGGCUCACCAAGGCUACGAUCCUUAGCUGGUCUGAGAGGAUGAUCAGCCACACUGGGACUGAGACACGGCCCAGACUCCUACGGGAGGCAGCAGUGGGGAAUAUUGGACAAUGGGCGCAAGCCUGAUCCAGCCAUGCCGCGUGAGUGAAGAAGGCC
rnacentral:rRNA from 1 species